rnacentral:rRNA from 1 species
UACGUAGGGUGCGAGCGUUGUCCGGAAUUAUUGGGCGUAAAGGGCUCGUAGGCGGUCUGUCACGUCGGGAGUGAAAACUCAGGGCUUAACCCUGAGCCUGCUUCCGAUACGGGCAGACUAGAGGUAUGCAGGGGAGAACGGAAUUCCUGGUGUAGCGGUGAAAUGCGCAGAUAUCAGGAGGAACACCGGUGGCGAAGGCGGUUCUCUGGGCAUUACCUGACGCUGAGGAGCGAAAGUGUGGGGAGCAACCAGG